rnacentral:rRNA from 1 species
GAUGAACGCUGGCGGCGUGCUUAACACAUGCAAGUCGAACGGAAAGGCUCCUGCUUGCAGGGGUACUCGAGUGGCGAACGGGUGAGUAACACGUGGGUGAUCUGCCCUGCACUUCGGGAUAAGACUGGGAAACUGGGGCUAAUACCGGAUAGGACCACAUUUUGGAUGGUGUGGUGGAAAGUUUUUCGGUGUGGGAUGAGCUCGCGGCCUAUCAGCUUGUUGGUGGGGUAAUGGCAUACCAAGGCGUCGACGGGUAGCCGGCCUGAGAGGGUGUACGGCCACAUUGGAACUGAGAGACGGGCCAGACUCCUACGGGAGGCAGAAGUGGGGAAUAUUGGACAAUGGGCGCCAGCCUGAUGCAGCGACGCCGCGUGGGGGAUGACGGCCUUCGUGUUGUAAACUCCUUUCGCUAGGGACGAAGCGUUUUUGUGACGGUACCUGGAGAAGAAGCACCGGCUAACUACGUG